rnacentral:rRNA from 1 species
CUUAACAAGGUGAAACCGCGAACGGCUCAUUAUAACAGCUAUAAUUUACUUGACCUUGACCAGUUACUUGGAUAACUGUGGUAAUUCUAGAGCUAAUACAUGCACCGAAGUUGUUCCUCGCGGAGCAAUGCAUUUAUUUGAGCAAAACCAGGCGGCUUCGGCCGUUUCUGUUGAAUCAGAAUAACUAAGCUGAUCGCAUGGGCUUGUCCCGGCGACGUGUCUUUCAAGUGUCUGCCUUAUCAACUUUCGAUGGUAGUGUACGUGACUACCAUGGUGUUGACGGGUAACGGAGGAUAAGGGUUCGACUCCGGAGAAGGGGCCUGAGAAAUGGCCACUACGUCUAAGGAUGGCAGCAGGCGCGCAAAUUACCCACUCUCGGUUCGAGGAGGUAGUGACGAAAAAUAACAAGGCCGUUCUCUUUGAGGCCGGCCAUUGGAAUGGGUACAACUUAAACCCUUUAACGAGUAUCAAUGAGAGGGCAAGUCUGGUGCCAGCAGCCGCGGUAAUUCCAGCUCUCAAAAUGCAUAGAACCAUUGCUGCGGUUAAAAAGCUCGUAGUUGGAUCUGUGCCGGCGACGUGGUCCGCCCUAACGGGAGGUACUGCGCUCGUCGGCUUUGGGCCGGUUUUCGGUCGGUCGCCUUAACUGGCGGCCGCUCGUGGCUGGCUGGUUUACUUUGAGCAAAUCAGAGUGCUCAGCACAGGCGUCUCGCCGGAAUGUUCGUGCAUGGAAUAAUAGAAAAGGAUUUCGGUCCUCUUUUAUUGGUUUUGUGGACUGAGAUAAUGGUUAACAGAGACGGACGGGGGCAUUCGUAUUGCUGCGUGAGAGGUGAAAUUCUUGGACCGCAGCAGGACGGA